rnacentral:rRNA from 1 species
GAUGAACGCUGGCGGCGUGCUUAACACAUGCAAGUCGAACGAAGCACUUUAUUUGAUUUCCUUCGGGACUGAUUAUUUUGUGACUGAGUGGCGGACGGGUGAGUAACGCGUGGGUAACCUGCCUUGUACAGGGGGAUAACAGUUGGAAACGGCUGCUAAUACCGCAUAAGCGCACGGCAUCGCAUGAUGCAGUGUGAAAAACUCCGGUGGUAUAAGAUGGACCCGCGUUGGAUUAGCUAGUUGGUGAGGUAACGGCCCACCAAGGCGACGAUCCAUAGCCGAGCAGAGAGGGUGACCGGCCACAUUGGGAGUGAGACACGGCCCAAACUCCUACGGGAGGCAGCAGUGGGGAAUAUUGCACAAUGGGCGAAAGCCUGAUGCAGCGACGCCGCGUGAGCGAAGAAGUAUUUCGGUAUGUAAAGCUCUAUCAGCAGGGAAGAUAAUGACGGUACCUGACUAAGAAGCACCGGCUAAAUACGUG